AUUGAACGAUGGCGGCAAGCCUAACACAUGCAAGUCGAACGAGUGGCGGACGGGUGAGUAAUGUCUGGGAAACUGCCUGCUGGAGGGGGAUAACUACUGGACACGGUAGCUAAUACCGCAUACCAUCGGAUGUGCCCAGAUCGGAUUCGCUAGUAGGUGGGGUAAAGGCUCACCUAGGCGACGAUCCCGAGCUGGUCUGAGAGGAUGACCAGCCACACUGGAACUGAGACACGGUCCAGACUCCUACGGGAGGCAGCAGUGGGGAAUAUUGGACAAUGGGCGCAAGCCGGCUGCAGCCAUGCCGCGUGUAUGAAGAAGGCCUUCGAGUUGUAAAGUACUUUCAGCGGGGAGGCGUUAGUUGCAGAAUAAGCACCGGCUAACUACGUGCCAGCAGCCGCGGUGAUUC
rnacentral:rRNA from 1 species